ensembl:lncRNA LINC02924 long intergenic non-protein coding RNA 2924
AGCCUGCCAGAGACGUGGUAGCUGCCCUGCCAAGAGCUAUCCUGGGAGGGCUAUUGAACGAGCUUUGAGGCUGCAGCCAGCUUCCAGCAGUCCCAGUGCCCAGAAACAGCACAUUCCAGGCCGGCUGUGCAUGCAUGUUUGCUGGGGCGCGUGCCAGGUGGGGGUGCUGGGAAGGGGGGGGCAACUAGAGGUCACCUUUGUAAUGACCACCUUGCUGCCCCCGUUCUCUGGCAUGUGCUGACUGGUAGCUUGAGAACCCUCUACUAGAAUCAGUAUCAUAGUCUUUCUAGAUAGCAGUCUGUAUGUGCUGAUCGCAGAAUUCAUAACCAGGAUUUUUUUUUUUUUACCUAUAAAGCCCCUGAAAUGGAAUUUCAACGUGUGUCUGUAUGUGCAUAUUUAACAGGAGCUUAAUAAAUAUUUUCCAAAUGCA